rnacentral:lncRNA from 1 species
GUUGAACUGAACUCAGUCAAAACAAAACCCACCUCAGGACUAAAUCAAGCAGUGAAGUCUAAAUGGUAAAUUAGUGACAUCUCCGUCAUUACGGCAGCAGAGUGCAGUGCCAUCCAAAUGCUGUUCCCUGUAGCAGCGAGCAGAAGGAGAAGCUAGGAUGGAAGCGAAAAUGUUCACAUUCCAAUAUAAACGUCUGAAACCAUCGCC